UGUUAGAUUAACCGAUUGCUUAAAUGUUUUUAUUCUUAUCACAUCUGCAGUGCCAGAACUUCAUGGAUCAACAAAAGGAUGUUGGCUGGAGAAAUAACAAAGUGACUGCUGCUUCAGGGAAGAAAUGCAAGCUCGGAAGUGUGACUACUCCAUCCAGAGAGAACAGAGCUCAUGUACCUACUGAAUUCAUAUUCCUGGUACUGUGAGGGAGGAACAAGCAUUGUUAGGCUUUUGGUACGUGGCUGCAGUGGUUUGCUGGAAGUCAGGCUUCCUUAGCAAUCUGAAGGGACUUGUGGGGUCUGAUGUUUUCACAUCUGGAUCGAAAGAAACAAUGUCUGCUGUUGCCUGGAUGACUCUCUGAUGUAAGUUGGUGUUUGAGGACACUGCUGCUGGCAUACCAGAAGAGUGGCGAUUUCAAUACCUGACUACAUGAGAG
ensembl:lncRNA